UACGUAGGGGGCAAGCGUUGUCCGGAAUCAUUGGGCGUAAAGAGCGCGUAGGCGGCCCUGUAAGUCCGCUGUGAAAGUCAAGGGCUCAACCCUUGAAUGCCGGUGGAUACUGCAGGGCUAGAGUCCGGAAGAGGCGAGUGGAAUUCCUGGUGUAGCGGUGAAAUGCGCAGAUAUCAGGAGGAACACCGAUGGCGAAGGCAGCUCGCUGGGACGGUACUGACGCUGAUGCGCGAAAGCGUGGAGAGCGAUCCGG
rnacentral:rRNA from 1 species